UUGAGAUCAUGAUCAAGCCGCAGAUCAUGAAAAAUUGAAGAGCCUUUCAAAAGCAUUUAGAAAAGCAGAUACUGCCAGUACUGGGGAAGUCCAGAUAGGGAAGUUCAAAGGUAUUCUGGAAACACAUCGUGUCCAAAUGAAUGACGAUGAAUUUGCGCUAAUUGCGAGAAAGUUGACGUAAAUGACAAGGAAGGUAGGUCGAAUUCAUCGUUAUCAGAAUCAGGAUUUUCUGGCUGAAGCUUUGUUUUGCUCCAAAAGAGAGCUGCUUUCCAUUUGUAGCUCGGAAUGAGAAAUUUUGACUUAAUUUUAAUGAAUUUGUUAUUUUGAAACAGAAAAGCAGCACAAUAAAAGCAAACAGAUAUACAUCAUAAACUGCAACAAAGCUCCCGACUUGACACGUAUUUAAAUUGCUUGAUACAGUUAAAAUACGUUGAGGGUGUAUAUUUUCAAAGUGAUUCAAAGAAAGGAUGUAUUCGUUAACUCAGCUCUACUCUCCUUUUUACUCAACUCUUAAUUCCUCUGGAGUAGUAUCUAAAAAAGCUCUUGACAAGAAAGUUACGUGUUUUAUCCUGUAGACAACAUGUGCAAAUAAGUGAUCGGUCUAUCAAUUGGUGAAAAUAUUUAGCAAUUAGAUAAUGAAUGCAGAAAAAUGUCCCAUUUCUAGCUGAUUAAAUAUGUACCCCUAUAAGGCGAAAAUGUGUGUGACUAACAAUAAGUAAGUUUUAUGGAAACACAGCAGUAUUUUGGUUAUGACGGUAGCUUCUUGAGAUUGUUAACUGAAAUUCCAACAGUUUGAUUAAAUUAAAUAUUAAUUUAAAUCUGAUGUUUAUUCGAUUCACUUCUAUCUAGAAUUCAAUACAUGGACUUC